rnacentral:rRNA from 1 species
CGGCCUGGUUAUUCAUAACCCUUUGUUGUCCGACUCUGUUGCCUCCGGGGCGACCCUGCCUUCGGGCGGGGGCUCCGGGUGGACACUUCAAACUCUUGCGUAACUUUGCAGUCUGAGUAAACUUAAUUAAUAAAUUAAAACUUUUAACAACGGAUCUCUUGGUUCUGGCAUCGAUGAAGAACGCAGCGAAAUGCGAUAAGUAAUGUGAAUUGCAGAAUUCAGUGAAUCAUCGAAUCUUUGAACGCACAUUGCGCCCCCUGGUAUUCCGGGGGGCAUGCCUGUUCGAGCGUCAUUUCACCACUCAAGCCUCGCUUGGUAUUGGGCAACGCGGUCCGCCGCGUGCCUCAAAUCGUCCGGCUGGGUCUUCUGUCCCCUAAGCGUUGUGGAAACUAUUCGCUAAAGGGUGUUCGGGAGGCUACGCCGUAAAACAACCCCAUUUCUAAGGUUGACCUCGGAUCAGGUAGGGAUACCCGCUGAACUUAA